rnacentral:rRNA from 1 species
UACGAGAUUAGCUGCAGUCUCGUGGGCUCGGAGAUGUGUAUAAGAGACAGAACCAGUACCGUGAGGGAAAGGUGAAAAGAACCCCGGGAGGGGAGUGAAAGAGAACCUGAAACCAUAUGCCUACAAGAAGUCAGAGCCCGUUAAAGGGUGAUGGCGUGCCUUUUGUAGAAUGAACCGGCGAGUUACUGUAUGGAGCGAGGUUAAGCAGGAUAUGCGGAGCCGAAGCGAAAGCGAGUCUUAAGAGGGCGAGAGUUGCAUGCAGUAGACCCGAAACCGGGUGAUCUAGCCAUGACCAGGUUGAAGUUGGGGUAAAACCCGAUGGAGGACCGAACCGACCCCCGUUGAAACGUUGGCGGAUGAGUUGUGGCUAGGGGUGAAAUUCCAAUCGAACCCGGAGAUAGCUGGUUCUCCCCGAAAUAGCUUUAGGGCUAGCGUCGAGGUAAGUUGCGUGAAGGUAGAGCACUGAAUAUGUGAUGGCCCCAUCUCGGGGUACUGAGCAUAAUCAAACUGCGAAUGUCACGCCAACAUGCUCGGCAGUCAGACAGCGGGUGAUAAGGUCCGUUGUCAAGAGGGAAACAGCCCAGACCAUCAGCUAAGGUCCCAAAAUGUAUGCUAAGUGGAAAAGGAUGUGGAGAUGUACAGACAACUAGGAGGUUGGCUCAGAAGCAGCCAUCCUUUAAAGAGUGCGUAACAGCUCACUAGUCGAAUGACUCUGCGCCGAUAAUUUACCGGGGCUAAGCAUACUACCGAAGCUAUGGAUCCCAAGGGAUGGUAGGGGAGCGUUCCAUGAACGGAGAAGUACGACCGAAAGGACGUGUGGAGAUCAUGGAAGAGAGAAUGCCGGUGUGAGUAGCGGAACGUGGGUGAGAAUCCCACGCACCGAAAACCCAAGGUUUCCAGAGGAAGGUUCGUCCGCUCUGGGUAAGUCGGGACCUAAGGCGAGGCCGAAAGGCGUAGUCGAUGGACAACAGGUAGAGAUUCCUGUACCCGUAUAUAUGUGAAGGAAUGACGGAGAGAGGAAGCUGCAGCCAGCGGCUGGAAGAGCUGGUGCAAGCGAGAUAUCGGGAUGGCAGGCAAAUCCACCAUCCGAAACGAGAAGGCGUGAAGCGUACGGAAAGCUACGGCGAGUACGGAAGGCAGUGGAGGAACUUCCAAGAAAAGUUUCUAACGUUAAGUAUAUAUGGCCCGUACCGAAAAUGGACACACAUGGGUGAGGAGAGAAUCCUAAGGUGAGCGAGAGAACUAUAGCUAAGGAACUCUGCAAAAUGACUCCGUAACUUAGGGAGAAGGAGUGCUCAUAGAGAUAUGAGCCGCAGUGAAACGGCCCAAGCGACUGUUUACCAAAAACACAGCUCUCUGCUAAGCCGCAAGGCGAAGUAUAGGGGGUGACGCCUGCCCGGUGCUGGAAGGUUAAGGGGAGGGGUUAACGCAAGUGAAGCCCUGAACUGAAGCCCCAGUAAACGGCGGCCGUAACUAUAACGGUCCUAAGGUAGCGAAAUUCCUUGUCAGGU